AGUGAACGCUGGCGGUAGGCCUAACACAUGCAAGUCGAACGGCAGCACAGUAAGAGCUUGCUCUUACGGGUGGCGAGUGGCGGACGGGUGAGGAAUACAUCGGAAUCUACUUUUUCGUGGGGGAUAACGUAGGGAAACUUACGCUAAUACCGCAUACGACCUACGGGUGAAAGCAGGGGAUCUUCGGACCUUGCGCGAUUGAAUGAGCCGAUGUCGGAUUAGCUAGUUGGCGGGGUAAAGGCCCACCAAGGCGACGAUCCGUAGCUGGUCUGAGAGGAUGAUCAGCCACACUGGAACUGAGACACGGUCCAGACUCCUACGGGAGGCAGCAGUGGGGAAUAUUGGACAAUGGGCGCAAGCCUGAUCCAGCCAUACCGCGUGGGUGAAGAGGGCCUUCGGGUUGUAAAGCCCUUUUGUUGGGAAAGAAAAGCAGCAGGUUAAUACGCCGCUGUUCUGACGGUACCCAAAGAAUAAGCACCGGCUAACUUCGUG
rnacentral:rRNA from 1 species